UCCUGAAGAAAUUCAAAAAUAACUGCCCUUCUCCUAGGAUCAUUCAUUUGCUUUCAGCGGGCUAAAUCAAUGGAUAGCACCACUGUAUUCAUUUCAGCUACUCCCUCUUGAUUAGCGUCUAUAAGAAAUUGGAGACGGGUUGGAUGGAGGCCAAACUCUAUUCCAAACACAAACAAGCCCUCAACAGCUACAAUUCUUGGUAACAAUAAAUGCCGGAAUGGCCUCCCAUAAAAAUGUAACUGCAUAAAAUUACACAGAUAACCUAUUAGAAAU